rnacentral:rRNA from 1 species
CAAUGGCGGUAAACAAAGGGAUGCAAAGCCGCGAGGCAGAGCGAACCCCCAAAAGCCGUCCCAGUUCGGAUCGCAGGCUGCAACCCGCCUGCGUGAAGUCGGAAUCGCUAGUAAUCGCGGAUCAGCAUGCCGCGGUGAAUACGUUCCCGGGCCUUGUACACACCGCCCGUCACACCAUGAGAGUCGGGAACACCCGAAGUCCGUAGCCUAACCGAAAGGAGGGCGCGGCCGAAGGUGGGUUCGAUAAUUGGGGUGAAGUCGUAACAAGGUACC